CCCUUAGAUGUCCUGGGCCGCACGCGUGCUACACUGACGCAUACAGCGAGCACUUUCCAGUUCCGAGAGGCUACUGGUAAUCAUCAAUAUGCGUCGUGAUGGGGAUAGAUCUUUGGAAUUCUGGAUCUUGAACGAGGAAUGCCUAGUAAUCGCAGGUCAUUAGCCUGCGAUGAUUAAGUCCCUGCCCUUUGUACACACCGCCCGUCGCUACUACCGAUUUCGAGUGGUCAGGUGAACCUUUCGGACUGUGGGCGCCCUUGAGGUGUUCGCGGAAAGUCAGGUAAAUCUUAUCACUUAGAGGAAGUAAAAGUCGUAACA
rnacentral:rRNA from 1 species